rnacentral:misc_RNA from 1 species
AACGCACAUUGCGCCCGCUAGUAUUCUGGCGGGCAUGCCUGUUCGAGCGUCAUUUCAACCCUCAAGCUCUGCUUGGCGUUGGGACCCUACGUACGUAGGUCCUCAAAAUCAGUGGCGGACUCGCUGAAGCCUCCUUUGCGUAGUAACUCACCUCGCAUCGUGGCCCGGCGGGCUCCAGCCGUGAAACCCCCCAAUUUUUUAAGGUUGACCUCGGAUCAGGUAGGAAUACCCGCUGAACUUAA